rnacentral:rRNA from 1 species
UUGAUCCUGGCUCAAAACGAACGCUGGCGGCGCGUCUUAAUCAUGCAAGUCAAACGGCAAGGCAGGUGCUUGCACCUGCCCUAGAGUGGCGGACUGGUGAGUAACACGUGGGUGACAUGCCUUUUAGGUGGGGAUAGCUACUAGAAAUAGUAGAUAAUACCGAAUGUGAUCAAUAUUUAUAGAUGAUGUUGAGGAAAGGAGCUAAGGCUUCGCUAAAAGAUUGGCCCGCGGCCCAUUAGCUAGUUGGUAGGGUAAAGGCUUACCAAGGCGAUGAUGGGUAUCCGGCCUGAGAGGGUGAUCGGACACAUUGGGACUGAGAUACGGCCCAGACUCCUACGGGAGGCAGCAGCUAAGAAUAUCCCACAAUGGACGAAAGUCUGAUGGAGCGACGCCGCGUGGAUGAUGAAGGCCGAAAGGUUGUAAAAUCCUUUUACACUGGAGGAAUAAGCAGAGUAGGGAAUGACUCUGUGAUGACUGUACAGUUUGAAUAAGCAACGGCUAAUUACGUGCCAGCAGCCGCGGUAACACGUAAGUUGCGAGCGUUGUUCGGAAUUAUUGGGCGUAAAGGGCAUGUAGGCGGAUUUGCAAGCUUGAUGUGAAAUCCCGCAGCUUAACUGCGGAACUGCAUUGGGAACUGCAAGACUAGAGUUACUGAGGGGAAACUAGAAUUCCAAGUGUAGGGGUGAAAUCUGUAGAUAUUUGGAAGAACACCAAUGGCGAAGGCAAGUUUCUGGCAGAUAACUGACGCUGAGGUGCGAAGGUGCGGGGAGCAAACAGGAUUAGAUACCCUGGUAGUCCGCACAGUAAACGAUGUACACUAGGUGUUUGACCAUGAGGUUGAGUGCCAUAGCUAACGCAAUAAGUGUACCGCCUGGGAAGUAUGCCCGCAAGGGUGAAACUCAAAGGAAUUGACGGGGGCCCGCACAAGCGGUGGAGCAUGUGGUUUAAUUCGAAGCAACGCGAAGAACCUUACCUAGACUUGACAUCUCCUGAAUUACUCUGUAAUGGAGGAAGCCACUUCGGUGGCAGGAAGACAGGUGGUGCAUGGUUGUCGUCAGCUCGUGUCGUGAGAUGUUGGGUUAAGUCCCGCAACGAGCGCAACCCUUAUUGUUAGUUGCUACCAUUUAGUUGAGCACUCUAGCGAGACUGCCCGGGUUAACCGGGAGGAAGGUGGGGAUGACGUCAAAUCAUCAUGCCCCUUAUGUCUAGGGCUACACACGUGCUACAAUGGCUGGUACAGAGAGAUGCGAUACCGCGAGGUGGAGCCAAACUUUAAAACCAGUCUCAGUUCGGAUUGUAGGCUGAAACUCGCCUACAUGAAGCUGGAGUUGCUAGUAAUCGCGGAUCAGCACGCCGCGGUGAAUACGUUCCCGGGCCUUGUACACACCGCCCGUCAA